CAUCCCAUUCCAAACCCAUCCUUUCUUGCCAUUCCCACAAAUGAAAAGCAUGAUAACACCGCCAUUCCAGCCAGCAAUACCAUUGCUCCCAUUGUGUCCACACCAGUUUCUACCACAGAGUCAGUGGUAAAUACUGUGGCCAAUACCGAAGCUUCCACAGUGCCUAUCAGUACCCCGGAGACUGCCACAGUCCCAGUGACCUCACCUGCAGCAUAAAAGCGCAAAGGAAACAUUGAAGAAGACAGUCAAGGUCUGAAACCAAAUUCCAACUUCAAACUCUUCUUCAGGGAUUUGUCUACCACCAUUCAAGAGAAAAUGCAAUUUUCACAGAUUCAGAUCUUUUUCUUCUUCCUAUACAUUUUACAUUGAAGCCACAGUUAAUUUUGUUUUUUUUUGAUUCUUGAAGAAUAAAGUUAAUGAAAUGCAA
rnacentral:lncRNA from 1 species